rnacentral:rRNA from 1 species
AGGGAUCAUUACCGAGUUCAUGCCCUCACGGGUAGAUCUCCCACCCUAUGUUAUCAUUACCUUUGUUGCUUUGGCGGGCCGCCAGGCUUUGGUCAGGCUACCGGCUCCGGCUGGUAAGCGCCCGCCAGAGGACCCCAAACUCUGAAUGUUAGUGUCGUCUGAGUACUAUCUAAUAGUUAAAACUUUCAACAACGGAUCUCUUGGUUCUGGCAUCGAUGAAGAACGCAGCGAAAUGCGAUAAGUAAUGUGAAUUGCAGAAUUCAGUGAAUCAUCGAAUCUUUGAACGCACAUUGCGCCCCUUGGUAUUCCGAGGGGCAUGCCUGUUCGAGCGUCAUUACAACCCUCAAGCACUGCUUGGUAUUGGGCUCCGCUGCUAACCCAGCGGGCCUUAAAAUCAGUGGCGGCGCCCUCAGGCUCUGAGCGUAGUAAAUCUCCUCGCUAUAGAGUCCUGGUGGUGGUAGUCAUCAACCCCCAACUUUCUAAGUUUGACCUCGGAUCAGGUAGGGAUACCCGCUGAACUUAA